rnacentral:rRNA from 1 species
AGUGAACGCUGGCGGUAGGCCUAACACAUGCAAGUCGAACGGCAGCACAGGAGAGCUUGCUCUCUGGGUGGCGAGUGGCGGACGGGUGAGGAAUACAUCGGAAUCUACUCUGUCGUGGGGGAUAACGUAGGGAAACUUACGCUAAUACCGCAUACGACCUACGGGUGAAAGCAGGGGACCUUCGGGCCUUGCGCGAUUGAAUGAGCCGAUGUCGGAUUAGCUAGUUGGCGGGGUAAAGGCCCACCAAGGCGACGAUCCGUAGCUGGCCUGAGAGGAUGAUAAGCCACACUGGAACUGAGACACGGUCCAGACUCCUACGGGAGGCAGCAGUGGGGAAUAUUGGACAAUGGGCGCAAGCCUGAUCCAGCCAUACCGCGUGGGUGAAGAAGGCCUUCGGGUUGUAAAGCCCUUUUGUUGGGAAAGAAAUCCAGCUGGCUAAUACCCGGUUGGGGUGACGGUACCCAAAGAAUAAGCACCGGCUAACUUCGUGCCAGCCGCCGCGGUAA